AUACGUAGGGCGCGAGCGUUGUCCGGAAUUACUGGGCGUAAAGAGCUCGUAGGUGGUUUGUCGCGUCGUCUGUGAAAUUCCGGGGCUUAACUCCGGGCGUGCAGGCGAUACGGGCAUAACUUGAGUACUGUAGGGGAGACUGGAAUUCCUGGUGUAGCGGUGAAAUGCGCAGAUAUCAGGAGGAACACCGGUGGCGAAGGCGGGUCUCUGGGCAGUAACGGACGCUGAGGAGCGAAAGCAUGGGUAGCGAACAGGAUUAGAUGCCCUGGUAGUCCAUGCCGUAAACGGUGGGCGCUAGGUGUAGGGGUCUUCCACGACUUCUGUGCCGUAGCUAACGCAUUAAGCGCCCCGCCUGGGGAGUUCGGCCGCAAGGCUAAAACUCAAAGGAAUUGACGGGG
rnacentral:rRNA from 1 species